CCUACGGGAGGCAGCAGUGGGGAAUCUUGCGCAAUGGGCGAAAGCCUGACGCAGCCAUGCCGCGUGUAUGAUGAAGGUCUUAGGAUUGUAAAAUACUUUCACCGGUGAAGAUAAUGACUGUAGCCGGAGAAGAAGCCCCGGCUAACUUCGUGCCAGCAGCCGCGGUAAUACGAAGGGGGCUAGCGUUGCUCGGAAUUACUGGGCGUAAAGGGAGCGUAGGCGGACAUUUAAGUCAGAGGUGAAAUCCCGGAGCUUAACUUCGGAACUGCCUUUGAUACUGGGUGUCUUGAGUGUGAGAGAGGUAUGUGGAACUCCGAGUGUAGAGGUGAAAUUCGUAGAUAUUCGGAAGAACACCAGUGGCGAAGGCGGCAUACUGGCUCAUUACUGACGCUGAGGCUCGAAAGCGUGGGGAGCAAACAGGAUUAGAUACCCUGGUAGUCCACGCCGUAAACGAUGAUUGCUAGUUGUCGGGAAGCUUGCUUCUCGGUGACGCNGCUACGCAUAAGACAUCCGCCGUGGGAGGUACGGUCGCAGAUAACUACAAGAAGUAGACGCGNGAGACGUGCCGAGGCGACGACGAGGGAGAGG
rnacentral:rRNA from 1 species